rnacentral:lncRNA from 1 species
UAAAAAAAAAGAAAUAAUAUCAGAAAUUAAUUUUAAAAAAGGAAAGAAAUUAACAAAAGGGAGAAUUUACAAAGCCAAAAAUAAGUCAUAAGUGAUAAAUAAAAUUGAUAAGGUUGUGGAGGAAUUAUCAAGGAAAAAAAAAAGGAAAACAAGUUAUCCAAAGUAGAAACUAAAUAAAGUGGGUUAUCACACCAGAUCCUAUAGGCAUUAAAAACAUGUUAAGAAAAUAUAAGAACUUUUGCCACCAUAUUUAUUAUCACUUAGCUAAAAAAGAACAAAUUACUUCAAAAACAAAACUUACCUAAAUUGGCUCAAAAAGAAAAAAAAUCCAUACUUCUCUGUGUAUACUUCUGACUUUCAGAACUAUGUAAAUACUUUGUAUAUUUAAUAAACAAGAAAGGGGUAGGGAAAGGAGGCAAAAUUUUAUACAAGCAGAAAUAAAUUAGCUGAGGAGUAUUACAAAUAAAAUGUUCAUACUAAAGGAGGAUGGGAGAAAAAGAAUAUAAAUAAAUUAGAAAACAGUGUGUUCUAAGGCUAAAAAUAAAAAAGAACAGUAGAUAAAUUGUUGGAAAUAAUCCAAAAGUUGAACAGGAAAAAUGGGUAAUUAUUUCAUGAUAUAUUUAUACGAUAAGAUACUACUCAAGCAGUAAGAAGGGAUACUUACUAUUAUACAUAACAGAAAUGAAUCUCAAUCAGUAUAAGUAAAAGAUCAUCAGAAACAAAUGAUACAUGCUAUAUAAUUCCAUUUAUCUGGAAUUCUAAUCUACAGAGAUAGAAAUUGGUGGCUAUCAUGAGUAAUGUUUCAGUGAAGAUUGACAUGAGAGUAUGAGGGAAUAUUCUCUACAGAUGAAAUUAUCUCUAUGCUAUUGAUUUGGUGGGUAGGUGAAUUUUCAGAUUUUUCAAAAAUCAUCAAAGUAUACACUUAGAAAUAUUUAAAUUGUACCAUAUGUAAUUAUUCCUGAAUAAUAUUGAUGUUUUAAAAGAAUGGAAUAGCUCAGGCUAAAGGAAUUUCAAGACUAAAUAGCAAGCUUUUAAUCGUCAAACAAAACUAAAACCAUAUACACCUUGGGACAAGUGUUGGAAGAGAAAAAAAUUAAAGUAAUGAAAGAUAUGGUUUCAUGCUUAGUGACCAAAGGGAGAUAAAUUUAGGGUAAGUAAUUUUUUUAAUCAGACUGUGAGAUUCAUAGCCACCAAGACACACCACUGUCAGACAACAAAAAGAAAAGACCUUGAGGUAAAUGUUGAACAAAAC